CCUACGGGAGGCAGCAGUAGGGAAUAUUGGGCAAUGGGCGCAAGCCUGACCCAGCAACGCCGCGUGAAGGAAGAAGGCUUUCGGGUUGUAAACUUCUUUUAUCGGGGACGAAGCAGAUAACGGUACCUGAUGAAUAAGCAACGGCUAACUACGUGCCAGCAACCGCGGUAAUACGUAGGUGGCAAGCGUGAUCCGGAUUUACUGGGUGUAAAGGGCGUGUAGGCGGGAGUGCAAGUCAGAUGUGAAAACUAAGGGCUAAACCCAUAGCCUGCAAUUGAAACUGAACUUCUUGAGUGCUGGAGAGGCAAUCGGAACUACGUGUGUAGCGGUGAAAUGCGUAGAUAUACGGAGGAACACCAGUGGCGAAGGCGGAUUGCUGGACCGUAACUGACGCUGAGGCGCGAAAGCGUGGGGAGCAAACAGGAUUAGAUACCCUAGUAGUC
rnacentral:rRNA from 1 species